UACGGAGGGCGCAAGCGUUGUUCGGGAUUACUGGGCGUAAAGCGCGUGUAGGCGGUUCAGCAAGUCGGUUGUGAAAGCCCCGGGCUCAACUCGGGAAUUGCGUGCGAAACUGCUGAACUGGAGUCCCGGAGAGGAAGGCAGAAUUCCCGAUGUAGGGGUGAAAUCCGUAGAUAUUGGGAGGAGUACCGGUGGCGAAGGCGGCCUUCUGGACGGUGACUGACGCUGAGACGCGAAAGCGUGGGGAGCAAACAGG
rnacentral:rRNA from 1 species